rnacentral:misc_RNA from 1 species
AAAGCACAACCACAGUUGCAUUUUACUUUUAUUUUGAAAAACUCGUCAUAAAAUUCUUAAUUCCCGGUUUAUUCAUACACGAAGAUAAAAUAACGUUUUUAAUUCUAAAAUUUUAAUUUAAAAUUUUGAAGGAGAGUUUUUAUAUUGUUUUUAAAGUUAACCAGCAAAGUCAAAUUUCAUUCGCAACUAACAUCAAGAUCAGCCGAAGUCGAACAGAAAAAUCAUGGCUGCUCUACGUCUCUCCCUAGGCUCUUCGAAGCAAAUUGCAAAAGUAUUUCGUGGCAAUUUCAGAGUUUCGGCUUGUUUCAAACAUCAGGAAACAUGUGAAAUUGGUAUUCAAGAGCCUAGCUACCUGUCCAUCCAACAGCGAAAUGAUGUGAGGUGCCAAUGGAAUCCAAUCACAGUUUUCAGUCGAGGAUUCAGAACUUCUGCAGUACUAGGAGAUGCGAAAACUGUGAUGGUACCACCAUUUGCAGACUCCAUCAGUGAGGGUGAUGUAAGAUGGGAUAAAGCUGUUGGUGAUACAGUCCAAGAAGAUGAAGAAGUAUGCCAUAUUGAAACGGACAAAACAUCGAUCCCGGUUAAAGCCCCUUGCAGUGGGGUCAUUACUGAGUUGUGCGUUAGUGAUGGUGCUACUGUUCAACCCGGAGCUAAACUCUUUAUUAUGAGUGCAGGAGGUGCUGCCAAAGCUGCUGCUCCCGCUGCUGCUGCUGCUGCUGCUCCUCCAACACCUUCACCAGCUGCUCCUGCUCCUCCACCGCCUACCCCUGCCGCCCAACCUGUUUCUGGUGCGAUCCCAUCAACACCUCCUCCUCGCCCAUCCCCUCCAACAACCCCUAUUUCUGCCAUCCCAGCAGCAAGCAUCCAACCUCGGGUUGCUGCUCCUGUUAACGUUACGCAGACGUCCCAAGCUGUUCCCCUAGCCCGUCUUCCACCUGCAGAUUAUAGCAAGGAAAUUACUGGCACAAGAACCGAACAACGCGUUAAAAUGAACCGCAUGCGACUGCGUAUUGCUCAGCGGCUGAAGGAAGCCCAAAAUGUCAACGCUAUGUUGACAACUUUUAACGAAAUUGAUAUGAGCAACAUCAUGGAGCUGAGAAAAACACACGGUGACGCCUUCUUGAAAGUUCACAAAAUCAAGUUGGGUUUCAUGUCAGCUUUCGUCAAGGCCGCGGCUUGCGCCCUUGCUGAUCAACCUACUGUCAAUGCCGUCAUCGACGGAAAUGAAAUCGUCUAUCGCGAUUACAUCGACAUAUCUGUGGCGGUUGCCACACCAAAAGGUUUGGUGGUGCCUGUUCUACGUAAUCUAGAUUCUAUGAACUAUGCUGACAUUGAAAAGGCUAUUGCCGCAAUGGGUGAGAAGGCAAAGAACAACGCAUUGGCUGUAGAAGAUAUGGAUGGAGGUACUUUUACCAUCUCCAACGGUGGAGUCUUCGGCUCAUUAUUCGGUACCCCAAUCAUCAACCCUCCGCAAUCUGCUAUUUUGGGCAUGCAUGGAAUUUUUGAUCGUCCCGUCGCACGCAAUGGCCAGGUGGUUAUUCGUCCCAUGAUGUUCGUAGCUUUGACUUACGACCAUCGGCUUAUCGACGGCAGGGAAGCUGUGACUUUCUUGCGCAAAAUCAAGCAGACAAUCGAAGACCCCCGUACUCUGCUCUUAUCAAUCUAAGAUAAGCUUUUCAUAGAAAGGGACUUUAUAUAUUGCGAAUCAUUUAUAGGAAGCACUAGUUUAAAGUUCCCGAUUCAGUUGCAUUCUACGAAUCUAGAAGGAAACAUGAGAGUUAUAAAUAAUAAUAAAAAAAUAAAAAGAAUCGAGUGUUCCCUUAAACACACUGAACUGCGUUCGUCUGUUUUCGGUCUUUUUUCUUUAUUCUUCUUUAUUUCGUUUUCUACCCCUAGGUGGCAGUGAAAGACGAAUCACGUAUGAAAAUACACUAUUUCUGUUUGAAUCAUCA